CGGGGUGUAGUUCAUCGGUAGAACGCUCGGUUCGGGACCGAGAGGUACAGGGUUCAAUUCCCUGCACCCCGA
rnacentral:tRNA from 1 species